rnacentral:rRNA from 1 species
UACGAAGGGGGCUAGCGUUGCUCGGAAUCACUAGGCGUAAAGGGUGCGUAGGCGGGUCUUUAAGUCAGGGGUGAAAUCCCGGAGCUCAACUUCGGAACUGCCUUUGAUACAGCACAUCUGGAGUCCGGAAGAGGUGGGUGGAAUUCCUAGUGUAGAGGUGAAAUUCGUAGAUAUUAGGAAGAACACCGGUGGCGAAGGCGGCAUCCUGGACCGGCAUUGACGCUGAUGAGCGAAAGCCUAGGGGAGCAAACGGGG